AUAUCAAUAAGCGGAGGAAAAGAACUAACAAGGAUUCCCUUAGUAAUGGCGAAUGAAACGGGAAGAGCCCAUCGUCGAAUCGCAAGUCGUUCUGGCUUUGUGAAAUGUGACGUUUGGGAGGGUCUUCCACAGCUCAGACGAUCAGUCAAAGUCCAACUUGACAGUGGCCACAGUCCGUAGAGGGUGAUAGGCCCGUAAGGCGGUUGUCUGGCUGUGCUGACCUCUCUCUAGAGUCGGAUUGCUUGGGAGUGCAGUCCAAAGUGCGAGGUAAACUCCUCGUAAGGCUAAAUAUGACCUCGAGACCGAUAGGCACAA
rnacentral:rRNA from 1 species